UACGUAGGGAGCGAGCGUUGUUCGGAAUCACUGGGCGUAAAGCGCACGCAGGCGGAUUGAUAAGUCAGGGGUGAAAUCCCGGAGCUCAACUUCGGAAUUGCCUUUGAUACUGUCUGUCUUGAGUCCGGGAGAGGUGAGUGGAAUUCCUAGUGUAGAGGUGAAAUUCGUAGAUAUUAGGAAGAACACCAGUGGCGAAGGCGGCUCACUGGCCCGGUACUGACGCUCAUGUGCGAAAGCGUGGGGAGCAAACAGG
rnacentral:rRNA from 1 species